UGUUGUCUGUUUCUCCUUUAGAAACACCUCCUAAAAUUAAUAUCAUUUAGUCUCUAGUGUCUGUAGGAUUCUACAGAUGAGCACAAAUAGAUUGGGUUUGUAUAACAAAUGCUAAUAGUCAUAACUGUUUCUACAAAUAUGGGGUGUCCAUUAAGAGAAUGUGAUGUUUUCCUACUGCUGUUGAAUCCCAUGGGGUGAUUAUAGGACUUGAAAUAGGCAGAGUCACCUCUGAUGACAUCAGCUUGCCUCUGUGAUUUCACAGUCUGAUCCUGGCAACAAGACAAAGCACCCUUGGACACACAGCCAAUCUCUGGUUGUGAUAUUUCCCCAUUGAUUCCUUCCUUGUUAACAAGGUCAUUUUAAUGGUUCAGGUGAGGACAGCAGCCAGAUUCAAAGUCCAGAAUUUGUGCUGUUACAUAGAGUUCACACUGUCAAAUAACAUUGAAUUUAAUAAUGAUCAAAUUUUUCUAGUAGUCUUUGGCAGAGUGUAUAAUCUCAUUGGCAUGAUUGGUGAAUAUUACUAAUCUCUUUAUAAUGAAAGAUGCUUUACAAAUACCUUAUAUUUGCUAACAUUUCAAAACUACUAAAUAAAUGAAAUAGCCAUGUGUACAGAAAUGGUCAUUUAAAGCUUUAAUAGAACCAAAUUCAAGACAAUGUAUCAUUUAGACACACAGAAAAGGAACUUGUAUGUUUUCCCUAUUAUUUUUCUCAUUUGCCAACAAUCUAUAGUUUUAGGUUAUCAAACAGAUAGAUCAACUUAACUGGCUAGUACAUUGAAAAAUCUUCCUAAGAAUCCUUUGUUAGCAUAAUCUAUAGAGAUAAUUUCUCAAAUUAUAUCAUCAUGAUGCAUAUAAACUCUAUAAUGUAUAAUUGUGUUUCAUUUAUUUAAUGUAUGAGAACAUAUUGAAAUACAAAACCAUGCAUUAGCCAAAAAAUUGGAAUACAGGUAGUGUUCAGAUCAGCAAAACAUUCAGUCUGGUAAAUGCCUGCCUGGGGCUAUGAUAUCAUUCUCAAUGCAGGUUUUAUGGAAAAACUAAAAGAAUAUGUUGUUAGAUGAUGUUGGUUUUGAAAAAAAAAAGACAUUAACAUACACAUUAGUUAGCCCAGUUAAUUGCAUUCUACUAAUAUAGUUGCACAUUAGCAAUAAUUUUGCUGUCUCUGGUCUUUAUUUUGUGGCUUCAACUAACUGGACCAUGUGGACUGUAAAGGUCAAAUGGAAAAAACGAGCAGUGGCCCCUCAUCCUGUAAGGUACUGCUACAUCAGAGUGACCUAAAAGUCUAACACUGUGAGGAAAACUGUGAUUUGUAGGAAAAAAAAAAAAAACAAAUAAAAAACAGGGCAUGCUUUUUAAUUUUUUUCCACUUUCCUUUGGCACACCCAAUGAACAAUUCUAAUUUUUAUUGAGGUGCUAACAUCUUUCGUGACCGACUGUCAAAUGUGGUAUUUUUGAGUUACUAUUUUUCUACAUGAUUUUACAGUUUGCAAGAAAGACCUCUAAGCUUUGUGUCACGGUAGGGCACAACUUGAUACUCAAAAUUUGAAAAAUAAGCACAUCCAAUGAUUGUUUUGACCAACAGUGGUCAGUGACGUAAACUGCAUGUGCAUCUGAGGACAUUUAAGGGGUCAUUAAAAUUUGAGGAGCAUCAGGCCGGAGUAGCAGACUUUUAGAUGAGUCAUAUUUCAGCAUUCACUAAGUCCUCAGCAUUCCAUUCAAACUGUCGUGUAUAUUUGGCCUGAUUUUUUUUCAAGCUUUGCAAUAAUUUAUGUUAUUGGUAAACACUUGGUGACUAUAUCUCAGCCUUUUCUUUAACAACUCACAAUAUAUUAGAAACACGUCUACCUAUACUGAGAGUAUAUUUACAAUAGAAGAACAUACUGUAUGUGACUUUGUAAAGCUAGACUUUUGAUUAAGAAAUAUAUAAUCUCUGGAUGCUAUUUUUGCAUUAUACACUCAGGCACAACGUAAACCUUGAUGGCUCAUCUUGCUACAAUUACGAGUUGAAAAACACUACUUACGUAUUUGUAUGACCUAUUAGUCAGAGGAAAUCAUACAUAUGCUUUGUAAAUAGACUUUGCAGAUAACUAAAUAGACUGAAGAAAUAUGUUGCAUUUGAUAGAAGCAAUUGCAUAAAUAUUUGGUUUCUAUAUUAGAGUCUGUGAGUAAAGUCAAGUAAUAAACCUAAGUAGGUAUAACAGAUUUUUAAACCUUGAAACUUGCUUUGAUGGUAGAGAAAAUCAUUGAAGAUUUACAUACUGUAUAUAAGAUGUAAAAUGUACGCUGCUUAUUACCCUCAAUUUUCCAGAAGCAAUGGUAUAUAAUGCAGUUGAAAAACCAAAAAUCUUGGAAAACUAAGACGGGUCUUGUUUAAAAUGUCUCUCAGCUUUGGCAACCUUCAAAUCUUAAUCAACUAUUUAAAGCAUUACUGUGUCUUGUAGCCUGCAUUCCACAACAGCUCUGUUAUUCAGGUAAAAGACUUGAACUGAGCCGUUUGGGACCUAUACUGUAAUAUUUUCAUUGAGGAACAAUAUCCUAUUUUGUAAAGCAUUUCCCUAUGUGUGACUUUAAACUGUAAAAUUAAACACUGCUUUUGUGGGUUCAGUGGGCAUAAUAAAUAUAAAUUGUAAACU
rnacentral:lncRNA from 1 species